AUAUGGAUGUAUGAACGCAGACUAUUUCUUCUAAAUAAUCGAUAAGGUGAAUAAAUGUUUCUUCGAGCAAAAUAUACAUUCCAAAAAGAACCCGCUUAGCCUAGUGCACCAUGUUUUGUAUUGUUGCUGGAAUUUUAGAAAGGGAUAGAAUGUUAGAUCAGAAAUGUUAGAUCAAUGAUCAAUUGAAAUCACUGAUCACCAAUCCAAAACUCUGAAACGGAUUUCUCUGACCCACAAAGAAGAUAGGCAUGUAUGAAGACAAACAAUUUCUUCCAAAUAAUUGAUAAGACCAUCUCCAACGGAGAGGUCAAUUGCCAAGUGGAAGCCCAACGUUUAUUUUUGACAGCCCAAACUCUUCUCCAACCCGUAUGUCUUUUCCACGUGGAUUAGACAUAUCCCUCUCCUCUGUCAAAUUUGACAGCUUCUUCUCAAUCUGUCUUUUAUUUUUUUUAUUGUUUCUCACUUUCUCAGUGCGUCUCUCUUUUUCCUUUCCCCGUCUUUCUUCCUUCAUCUCACCCAGAACUCAGGCUUUUGAAACCCCGGUUCCAAUGAGCUAAGGAAGAAGAAGUUUUAGAUAGAUGUUCUACUGUAAAACUAGUAGAUGUUCUACAUGUGCCUCGUACAGAAGCAACUAGUUUUGGUCCUGCGUUUAUUGAGGAUUGGAAGCUUGAAUCAUGGCUGAAGAUCUGGACAAACCGUUGUUGGAUCCUGAAUAGAGAUGGCAUCGAUUUGGAACACUUACCACUGGAAGAAGUUUUUGAACAACUGAGAACAUCAGCAAGAGGCCUUUCAUCCGAUGAUGCUGAAUGCAGAUUGCACAUUUUUGUCAGCAUCUUUCCACCUCCGAAUGUGUAGAAGAGGCUACCUGUGUUGAGAAGUGAUUAGGUUGACGUACAUUGCUGUCUUAUUUCCUAAUCAUUUAGGCUUUUGAGUUUUAGUGGUUCUCUAAUGGGCUAAUAUUCAAAUGCUGGUUUUAUUUGAGACGUAGUUUUAUUUACCCAUCAAAACCUGCUUAAGUACAACAAUUAUGAUUAAUCGACAAUUGAAAAGAACUAGCUUUCUAGAGGAACCUGCUAUGUAUUCCCAUAUCUCAAAUUCUCAUAAUCUCAAUUGCAUCUCUUAAUGAAAUCAUUCAUUGUAUGA